GCUUGUCUCAAAGAUUAAGCCAUGCACGUCUAAGUAUAAGCGAUUAUACUGUGAAACUGCGAAUGGCUCAUUAUAUCAGUUAUAGUUUAUUUGAUGGUCCUUGCUACUUGGAUAACCGUAGUAAUUCUAGAGCUAAUACAUGCACAAAAUCCCGACUUACGAAGGGAUGUAUUUAUUAGAUACAAACCAACAUCGUGGUGAUUCAUAAUAACUUUGCGAAUCGUAUGCCUCACGGCGACGAUGAAUCAUUCAAAUUUCUGCCCUAUCAACUUUCGAUGGUAAGGUAUUGGCUUACCAUGGUUGCAACGGGUAACGGAGAAUUAGGGUUCGAUUCCGGAGAGGGCGCCUGAGAAAUGGCGACCACAUCCAAGGAAGGCAGCAG
rnacentral:rRNA from 1 species